rnacentral:rRNA from 1 species
CCUGACUGCUAUCGGAUUGAUACUAAGCCAUGCGAGUCUUUGCAGUAAUGCAAGGCAUACGGCUCAGUAACACGUAGUCAACUUACCCUAUGGACGAGGAUAAUCUCGGGAAACUGAGCAUAAUACUCGAUAGAUCAUAAUGCCUGGAAUGGUUUAUGGUUGAAAUGAUUCGUCGCCAUAGGAUGGGACUGCGGCCUAUCAGCUUGUUGGUGAGGUAAUGGCCCACCAAGGCGAUUACAGGUACGGGCUCUGAGAGGAGAAGCCCGGAGAUGGGUACUGAGACAAGGACCCAGGCCCUAUGGGGCGCAGCAGGCGAGAAAACUUUGCAAUGUGCGAAAGCACGACAAGGUUAAUCCGAGUGAUUUCUGCUAAAGAAAUCUUUUGCAAGUCAUAAAACCACUAGUGAAUAAGGGGUGGGCAAGUUCUGGUGUCAGCCGCCGCGGUAAAACCAGCACCUCAAGUGGUCAGGAGGAUUAUUGGGCCUAAAGCAUCCGUAGCCGGCUCUGUAAGUUUUCGGUUAAAUCCAUGUGCUCAACACAUGGGCUGCCGAAAAUACUGCAUAGCUAGGGAGUGGGAGAGGUAGACGGUACUCGGUAGGAAGGGGUAAAAUCCUUUGAUCUAUCGAUGACCACCUGUGGCGAAGGCGGUCUACCAGAACACGUUCGACGGUGAGGGAUGAAAGCUGGGGGAGCAAACCGGAUUAGAUACCCGGGUAGUCCCAGCUGUAAACGAUGCAGACUCGAUGAUGCAUUGGCAUAUAGCCAGUGCAGUGUCGCAGGGAAGCCGUUAAGUCUGCCGCCUGGGAAGUACGUACGCAAGUAUGAAACUUAAAGGAAUUGGCGGGGGAGCACCACAAGGGGUGAAGCCUGCGGUUC